CCUGAGAAACGGCUACCACAUCCAAGGAAGGCAGCAGGCGCGCAAAUUACCCACUCCCGGCACGGGGAGGUAGUGACGAAAAAUAACGAUACGGGACUCAUCCGAGGCCCCGUAAUCGGAAUGAGAACACUUUAAAUCUUUUAACAAGUACCUAAUGGAGGGCAAGUCUGGUGCCAGCAGCCGCGGUAAUUCCAGCUCCAUUGGCGUAUAUUAAAGUUGUUGCGGUUNNNNNNNUCGUAGUUGGAUCUGUGUAUCGGACGGUCGGUUCGCCGCUCGGUGUUUGACUGACCGGUUCGGACGUCAUGCCGGUGGGACCUCGGCGCACGGUUCCGUAACUUACCCUCCGCGCUGCUCUUAACCGAGUGGUCAGGUGGGCCGGCACGUUUACUUUGAACAAAUUAGAGUGCUYAAAGCAGGCCUUAUGCUGCCUGGAAAUGUGUGCAUGGAAUAAUGAAAGAGGACCUUGGUUCUAUUUUGUUGGCUUUCUGAACUCGAGGUAAUGAUUAACAGGGACAGACGGGGGCAUUCGUAUUGCGACGUUAGAGGUGAAAUUCUUGGACCGUCGCAAGACGGACCGAUGCGAAAGCGUUUGCCAAGAAUGUUUUCAUUGAUCAAGAACGAAAGUUAGAGGUUCGAAGGCGAUCAGAUACCGCCCUAGUUCUAACCAUAAACGAUGCCAGCCAGCGAUCCGUCGAUGUUCAUUCAAAUUGAUUCGACGGGCAGCCUCCGGGAAACCAAAGUUUUUGGGUUCCGGGGGAAGUAUGGUUGCAAAGCUGAAAC
rnacentral:rRNA from 1 species